rnacentral:rRNA from 1 species
UACGUAGGUGGCGAGCGUUGUCCGGAAUUACUGGGUGUAAAGCGCGCGUAGGCGGUAGGCCAAGUCUGCUGUGAAAUCGCCCGGCUCAACUGGGCGCGGUCGGUGGAAACUGGUCAACUGGAGGACGGUAGAGGCGAGUGGAAUUCCCGGUGUAGUGGUGAAAUGCGUAGAGAUCGGGAGGAACACCAGUGGCGAAGGCGGCCUUCUGGACCAGUACUGACGCUGAGGCACGAAAGCGUGGGGAGCAAACAGG